CUGGGAAUCAACGUGUGAGGUGGGGGCUUUUAAGCAGAAACCCCUCUCACUUUGCUAGUGGUUUGUUUGUUUUUUGUUUUCCUUUUUGCCCAGCAGAACCCUGCUCUACUCAUCCUUCAAUGUGCCCACGUGCCUUAAUGUUCCUGGUCGUGUGAAAAGAACCCAGGUUUUAGCGGAACUAAGGAGCAUAAUUCUGCAACAUUUUGGCACCCAAACAUGGGGCUUGCGAAAGGAAUGCAAUUGGAGAAACUGAUUGUUUUACCAGGCUUUGAUUGGAAAGAUUUGCUUCCCUUUAAGUAGACAAGAUCAACUUGCAGAGCUGAUGAGAGCCCCUUGGGAAAACUGGCAUCAUACCUUUGUCUGCACAGUCCACAUACAGGGUUCUUAAUCUGUGGAAACACUUUCUGAAAAUGUCAGAACUCUUGAAAACAUGGAUGAGGAAAAGCAUAAGGACUGCUUUAUGCUUGUCUUAUGAAUUUUAAAAGAUGUAUUUUAAAGGCACUUUAAAGGGUGUUAUUUGUGCCCUUGUAACUGAUUCAAAGUAGACUGCUAAGGAAAAUAAGUAGUGAGUCCACAAAUAUCAAUAAAUUAUGAGAAAAAUUAUCUAAUGGUACUUAAAAUUUCAUUGUGAUUUAUUAAAUAAGAUACUGAACAGCUCUACCUGUAACAUUAAGAUUCCAUUUGAGCAUAUAGAAAAUAUAUUUAAUGCAACCUGAAGUGAUUUGGAAAGUAUGCUGGCAAGAAAAUAUAUUUACAAGUUAGUCUCAGAGGGUAGAUAUACCGUAGCCAGAUGGAAUAAGAAGAGAGGGUAGGGGGAUUUUGAUCAAAGUGGGAGCAUAAGCUAAGGAAUAAAGCCACAAACAAUUAUUAGGUAAAGUGCAAUUAGCUGAAUAUUGCAUAAGCAUAUGUACGGGAAGGAGUAGAGAAGGGAGUGACAAUAUGAAUCUGAAGACUUUAGAGCACUCAAGAUAAUACUUCCUAGCCUAUUCCGAGAAAUCUUAUUUUAGAGGGCAAUAGGUAAGAACUCUAAGGAUAUAGGUAGGAAAAAUGCAUUCUAGUCUAUGUUUUGAGUAAUGGACUGAAAAUGAAAGAUCGACAAAUUGGAGGAUGGAGUGAAAAUGUGAUAGAAUUGAAAACAGAAAAACAAAUUUGCCUAAUUUCAUAGGUACUUAAAGAAAGUAUGGAAAAUAGUAAGUUAGUGAUACAAAUCUUUUCUAAUUCACCAGGGUGAGUGCAUAAAAGAAAUCAGAUUUAAAAGUAUUAGUGACAUAUAUGCAAUAAGAUUUCUUAGAGCAAAUUGAGGGAAGGGAAUAAUUAGAGGAUCGUAGAAUGUCUUGCUUGUAGACUAAUAGGAUAUCAAUAAGCAGUCUGAACAAUAAUUUUAAAUACUUUUUGUAAGUAUCAUGAAGGUGAACCCUGAACCCUGUUUAGAACAAAUUAGAUGCAGCUGGAAAAUUGUUGCUUAGCAGGAAAGCUUGUGCUGGACAAAUAGAUGGUCAAACUGAAUAGUUUUCUUAAGCUGAACUAAUUGAGACAAAUAUCCUUAUUAAAUCAAAAAAUUAAAAAUGGAAAUAACUUACCUAUU